UUUAUGGAGAGUUUGAUCCUGGCUCAGGAUGAACGCUGGCGGCGUGCCUAAUACAUGCAAGUCGAGCGAACGGACGAGAAGCUUGCUUCUCUGAUGUUAGCGGCGGACGGGUGAGUAACACGUGGAUAACCUACCUAUAAGACUGGGAUAACUUCGGGAAACCGGAGCUAAUACCGGAUAAUAUUUUGAACCGCAUGGUUCAAAAGUGAAAGACGGUCUUGCUGUCACUUAUAGAUGGAUCCGCGCUGCAUUAGCUAGUUGGUAAGGUAACGGCUUACCAAGGCAACGAUGCAUAGCCGACCUGAGAGGGUGAUCGGCCACACUGGAACUGAGACACGGUCCAGACUCCUACGGGAGGCAGCAGUAGGGAAUCUUCCGCAAUGGGCGAAAGCCUGACGGAGCAACGCCGCGUGAGUGAUGAAGGUCUUCGGAUCGUAAAACUCUGUUAUUAGGGAAGAACAUAUGUGUAAGUAACUGUGCACAUCUUGACGGUACCUAAUCAGAAAGCCACGGCUAACUACGUGCCAGCAGCCGCGGUAAUACGUAGGUGGCAAGCGUUAUCCGGAAUUAUUGGGCGUAAAGCGCGCGUAGGCGGUUUUUUAAGUCUGAUGUGAAAGCCCACGGCUCAACCGUGGAGGGUCAUUGGAAACUGGAAAACUUGAGUGCAGAAGAGGAAGGUGGAAUUCCAUGUGUAGCGGUGAAAUGCGCAGAGAUAUGGAGGAACACCAGUGGCGAAGGCGACUUUCUGGUCUGUAACUGACGCUGAUGUGCGAAAGCGUGGGGAUCAAACAGGAUUAGAUACCCUGGUAGUCCACGCCGUAAACGAUGAGUGCUAAGUGUUAGGGGGUUUCCGCCCCUUAGUGCUGCAGCUAACGCAUUAAGCACUCCGCCUGGGGAGUACGACCGCAAGGUUGAAACUCAAAGGAAUUGACGGGGACCCGCACAAGCGGUGGAGCAUGUGGUUUAAUUCGAAGCAACGCGAAGAACCUUACCAAAUCUUGACAUCCUUUGACAACUCUAGAGAUAGAGCCUUCCCCUUCGGGGGACAAAGUGACAGGUGGUGCAUGGUUGUCGUCAGCUCGUGUCGUGAGAUGUUGGGUUAAGUCCCGCAACGAGCGCAACCCUUAAGCUUAGUUGCCAUCAUUAAGUUGGGCACUCUAAGUUGACUGCCGGUGACAAACCGGAGGAAGGUGGGGAUGACGUCAAAUCAUCAUGCCCCUUAUGAUUUGGGCUACACACGUGCUACAAUGGACAAUACAAAGGGCAGCGAAACCGCGAGGUCAAGCAAAUCCCAUAAAGUUGUUCUCAGUUCGGAUUGUAGUCUGCAACUCGACUACAUGAAGCUGGAAUCGCUAGUAAUCGUAGAUCAGCAUGCUACGGUGAAUACGUUCCCGGGUCUUGUACACACCGCCCGUCACACCACGAGAGUUUGUAACACCCGAAGCCGGUGGAGUAACCUUUUAGGAGCUAGCCGUCGAAGGUGGGACAAAUGAUUGGGGUGAAGUCGUAACAAGGUAGCCGUAUCGGAAGGUGCGGCUGGAUCACCUCCUUUCU
rnacentral:rRNA from 1 species